GGGGUUGUGGUCUAGUGGUAUGACGUGUAAGCAUUAACACCAUCUCGACCACCUCAAGAGCAACAGCUAAUCCUCAAAACAGUUCCUUAGCAUCAAGUGUUCAAAGCGCUUGGAAAAGGUUCUGGGUUCGAUUCCCAGCUACUCCA
rfam:Exophiala oligosperma strain CBS 72588 unplaced genomic scaffold supercont1.2, whole genome shotgun sequence.